ACAAGCGGUGGAGUCAUGUGGUUUAAUUCGAUGAUACGCGAGAACCUUACCGGGUUUGACAUGCAGGUGAUCGCCGUUGAAAGACGGUUUCCUCUUCGGAGGCACCUGCACAGGUGCUGCAUGGCUGUCGUCAGCUCGUGUCGUGAGAUGUUGGGUUAAGUCCCGCAACGAGCGCAACCCUUGUCUUUAGUUACCAUCAUUCAGUUGGGGACUCUAGAGAGACUGCCGGUGAUAAACCGGAGGAAGGUGGGGAUGACGUCAAAUCAUCAUGCCCCUUAUGGCCUGGGCUACAAACGUAAUACAAUGGCGUAUACAAAGGGAUGCGAAAGGGCGACCUGGAGCAAAACUCACAAAGUACGUCUCAGUUCAGAUUGGAGUCUGCAACUCGACUCCAUGAAGGCGGAAUCGCUAGUAAUCGCGGAUCAGCAUGCCGCGGUGAAUACGUUCUCGGGGUUU
rnacentral:rRNA from 1 species